UACGUAGGGUGCGAGCGUUGUCCGGAAUUAUUGGGCGUAAAGAGCUCGUAGGCGGUGUGUCACGUCGGCCGUGAAAACCUGCAGCUUAACUGUGGGCGUGCGGUCGAUACGGGCAUCACUGGAGUUCGGCAGGGGAGACUGGAAUUCCUGGUGUAGCGGUGAAAUGCGCAGAUAUCAGGAGGAACACCAGCGGCGAAGGCGGCGCUCUGGGCCGGUACUGACACUGAGGAGCGAAAGCGUGGGGAGCAAACAGG
rnacentral:rRNA from 1 species